AGCGAACGCUGGCGGCAGGCCUAACACAUGCAAGUCGAACGAAGUCUUCGGACUUAGUGGCGGACGGGUGAGUAACACGUGGGAACGUGCCUUUAGGUUCGGAAUAACUCAGGGAAACUUGUGCUAAUACCGAAUGUGCCCUUCGGGGGAAGGAUUUAUCGCCUUUAGAGCGGCCCGCGUCUGAUUAGCUAGUUGGGGAGGUAAAGGCUCACCAAGGCUACGAUCAGUAGCUGGUCUGAGAGGAUGACCAGCCACAUUGGGACUGAGACACGGCCCAAACUCCUACGGGAGGCAGCAGUGGGGAAUCUUGCGCAAUGGGCGAAAGCCUGACGCAGCCAUGCCGCGUGGAUGAUGAAGGUCUUAGGAUUGUAAAAUCCUUUCACCGGUGAAGAUAAUGACUGUAGCCGGAGAAGAAGCCCCGGCUAACUACGUGCCAGCAGCCGCAGUAACAC
rnacentral:rRNA from 1 species